rnacentral:rRNA from 1 species
UACGUAGGGGGCUAGCGUUGUCCGGAUUUAUUGGGCGUAAAGAGCGUGUAGGCGGCCAGAUAGGUCUGCUGUGAAAACUCGAGGCUCAACCUCGAGAUGUCGGCGGAAACCAUUUGGCUAGAGUCCGGAAGAGGAAAGUGGAAUUCCUGGUGUAGCGGUGAAAUGCGCAGAUAUCAGGAGGAACACCGAUGGCGAAGGCAGGUCUCUGGGCCAUAACUGACGCUGAGAAACGAAAGCAUGGGGAGCGAACAGG